rnacentral:lncRNA from 1 species
AGAUCUAAGCAGGCACUAUUAAAGACAGUCGCAUCCGGGCCCUCCUGCCGCAAGCUGCCCUCCCAGCCAAGGGUCCUUCAGUCGGAGACCUCUGCCGCAAACAUGCUCCGCCAGAUCAUCGGUCAGGCCAAGAAGCAUCCGAGCUUGAUCCCCCUCUUUGUAUUUAUUGGAACUGGAGCUACUGGAGCAACACUGUAUCUCUUGCGUCUGGCAUUGUUCAAUCCAGAUGUUUGUUGGGACAGAAAUAACCCAGAGCCCUGGAACAAACUGGGUCCCAAUGAUCAAUACAAGUUCUACUCAGUGAAUGUGGAUUACAGCAAGCUGAAGAAGGAACGUCCAGAUUUCUAAAUGAAAUGUUUCACUAUAACGCUGCUUUAGAAUGAAGGUCUUCCAGAAGCCACAUCCGCACAAUUUUCCACUUAACCAGGAAAUAUUUCUCCUCUAAAUGCAUGAAAUCAUGUUGGAGAUC